rnacentral:rRNA from 1 species
GUGGGGAAUCUUCCGCAAUGGACGAAAGUCUGACGGAGCAACGCCGCGUGAGUGAAGAAGGUUUUCGGAUCGUAAAGCUCUGUUGUUUGAGACGAAUGUGCAGACUUUGAAUAAGGGUUUGUAAUGACGGUAUUAAACGAGAAAGCCACGGCUAACUACGUGCCAGCAGCCGCGGUAAUACGUAGGUGGCAAGCGUUGUCCGGAAUUAUUGGGCGUAAAGGGAGCGCAGGUGGGAAUGUAAGUCAGUCUUAAAAGUGCGGGGCUCAACCCCGUGAGGGGAUUGAAACUACAUUUCUUGAGUGCAGGAGAGGAAAGUGGAAUUCCUAGUGUAGCGGUGAAAUGCGUAGAGAUUAGGAGGAACACCAGUGGCGAAGGCGACUUUCUGGGAUGCAACUGACGCUCAUGCACGAAAGCGUGGAGAUCAAACAGGAUUAGAAACCCGGGUAGUCC